GCUCCAGUGGUGUAGUCCGGUCAAGCAUACUGCCCUUUCAAGGCAGUGAUCCCGGGUUCAAAUCCCGGCUGGAGCA
rnacentral:tRNA from 1 species